rnacentral:rRNA from 1 species
GACGAACGCUGGCGGCGUGCCUAAUACAUGCAAGUAGAACGCUGAAGGAGGAGCUUGCUUCUCUGGAUGAGUUGCGAACGGGUGAGUAACGCGUAGGUAACCUGCCUGGUAGCGGGGGAUAACUAUUGGAAACGAUAGCUAAUACCGCAUAACAGUAGAUAUCGCAUGAUAUCUACUUGAAAGGUGCAAUUGCAUCACUACCAGAUGGACCUGCGUUGUAUUAGCUAGUUGGUGAGGUAACGGCUCACCAAGGCGACGAUACAUAGCCGACCUGAGAGGGUGAUCGGCCACACUGGGACUGAGACACGGCCCAGACUCCUACGGGAGGCAGCAGUAGGGAAUCUUCGGCAAUGGACGGAAGUCUGACCGAGCAACGCCGCGUGAGUGAAGAAGGUUUUCGGAUCGUAAAGCUCUGUUGUAAGAGAAGAACGAGUGUGAGGGUGGAAAGUUCACACUGUGACGGUAUCUUACCAGAAAGAGACGGCUAACUACGUG